UAUUUUUAAUUGACAUAGACCAAGUCCUCUAUUAAAAUGAGGAUGAUGCAUCGGGAAUAGCC
rnacentral:tRNA from 1 species